ACGUAGGUGGCGAGCGUUGUCCGGAAUUACUGGGCGUAAAGGGAGCGCAGGCGGGAAGACAAGUCAGCUGUGAAAACUAUGGGCUUAACCCAUAGAGUGCAGUUGAAACUGUUUUUCUUGAGUGGAGUAGAGGCAGGCGGAAUUCCGAGUGUAGCGGUGAAAUGCGUAGAUAUGAGGAGGAACACCAGUGGCGAAGGCGGCUUGCUGGGCUUAAACUGACGCUGAGGCGCGAAAGUGUGGGUAGCAAACAG
rnacentral:rRNA from 1 species